UAGGGAAUCUUCGGCAAUGGGGGCAACCCUGACCGAGCAACGCCGCGUGAGUGAAGAAGGUUUUCGGAUCGUAAAGCUCUGUUGUAGGAGAAGAACGUGUGUGAGAGUGGAAAGUUCACACAGUGACGGUAACUUACCAGAAAGGGACGGCUAACUACGUGCCAGCAGCCGCGGUAAUACGUAGGUCCCGAGCGUUGUCCGGAUUUAUUGGGCGUAAAGCGAGGGCAGGCGGUUUAAUAAGUCUGAAGUUAAAGGCAGUGGCUUAACCAUUGUUCGCUUUGGAAACUGUUAAACUUGAGUGCAGAAGGGGAGAGUGGAAUUCCAUGUGUAGCGGUGAAAUGCGUAGAUAUAUGGAGGAACACCGGUGGCGAAAGCGGCUCUCUGGUCUGUAACUGACGCUGAGGCUCGAAAGCGUGGGGAGCAAACAGG
rnacentral:rRNA from 1 species